rnacentral:rRNA from 1 species
GCUGAUGCGUUGUUGGGUAGGGGAGCGUUCUGUAAGCCUGCGAAGGUGGCCUGUGAGGGUUGCUGGAGGUAUCAGAAGUGCGAAUGCUGACAUAAGUAACGAUAAAGCGGGUGAAAAGCCCGCUCGCCGGAAGACCAAGGGUUCCUGUCCAACGUUAAUCGGGGCAGGGUGAGUCGACCCCUAAGGCGAGGCCGAAAGGCGUAGUCGAUGGGAAACGGGUUAAUAUUCCCGUACUUGGUGUUACUGCGAAGGGGGGACGGAGAAGGCUAUGUUGGCCGGGCGACGGUUGUCCCGGUUUAAGCGUGUAGGUGUGUGUUCCAGGUAAAUCCGGUUCACUUUAACACUGAGGCGUGACGACGAGGCACUACGGUGCUGAAGCAACAAAUGCCCUGCUUCCAGGAAAAGCCUCUAAGCAUCAGGUAACACGAAAUCGUACCCCAAACCGACACAGGUGGUCAGGUAGAGAAUACCAAGGCGCUUGAGAGAACUCGGGUGAAGGAACUAGGCAAAAUGGUGCCGUAACUUCGGGAGAAGGCACGCUGACACGUAGGUGAAGUGAUUUACUCAUGGAGCUGAAGUCAGUCGAAGAUACCAGCUGGCUGCAACUGUUUAUUAAAAACACAGCACUGUGCAAACACGAAAGUGGACGUAUACGGUGUGACGCCUGCCCGGUGCCGGAAGGUUAAUUGAUGGGGUCAGCGCAAGCGAAGCUCCUGAUCGAAGCCCCGGUAAACGGCGGCCGUAACUAUAACGGUCCUAAGGUAGCGAAAUUCCUUGUCGGGUAAGUUCCGACCUGCACGAAUGGCGUAAUGAUGGCCAGGCUGUCUCCACCCGAGACUCAGUGAAAUUGAACUCGCUGUGAAGAUGCAGUGUACCCGCGGCAAGACGGAAAGACCCCGUGAACCUUUACUAUAGCUUGACACUGAACAUUGAGCCUUGAUGUGUAGGAUAGGUGGGAGGCUUUGAAGCGUGGACGCCAGUCUGCGUGGAGCCGACCUUGAAAUACCACCCUUUAAUGUUUGAUGUUCUAACGUGGACCCGUGAUCCGGGUUGCGGACAGUGUCUGGUGGGUAGUUUGACUGGGGCGGUCUCCUCCUAAAGAGUAACGGAGGAGCACGAAGGUUGGCUAAUCCUGGUCGGACAUCAGGAGGUUAGUGCAAUGGCAUAAGCCAGCUUGACUGCGAGCGUGACGGCGCGAGCAGGUGCGAAAGCAGGUCAUAGUGAUCCGGUGGUUCUGAAUGGAAGGGCCAUCGCUCAACGGAUAAAAGGUACUCCGGGGAUAACAGGCUGAUACCGCCCAAGAGUUCAUAUCGACGGCGGUGUUUGGCACCUCGAUGUCGGCUCAUCACAUCCUGGGGCUGAAGUAGGUCCCAAGGGUAUGGCUGUUCGCCAUUUAAAGUGGUACGCGAGCUGGGUUUAGAACGUCGUGAGACAGUUCGGUCCCUAUCUGCCGUGGGCGCUGGAGAACUGAGGGGGGCUGCUCCUAGUACGAGAGGACC